rnacentral:lncRNA from 1 species
CACUCUGUUUAUAUGCCCCAAAGAGCCUGAACCAAGACAGACGUAAGUAGGAGCAGCUGGAUUUGACCCUAACUCUUGAAAAUCCUGCCCUGCUUGAGAGGUAAGGCAUAUCUUCAGCUUUGCAAGCACACUAUUUUGUGUGUGUGUGUGUGAGAGAGAGAAAAUGGUUAAAAUUAAUGUGAAUUUGGUUCUCCCUCCUCAUAUUUGUCUAUAUUAAUAUACUUUUUAAUUGUUAAUAUUAUCAUUAGAAAGGUGAUGGUUUCAUGAAUGAAUUAUGAAGGAGAAAAGAAUUUUGGUAUCUAAAAUUGUUGGCCAAUAAUUGACCAUUUUCUGCCUGGGUCAUGUACGUGCACUGAGAGGUUGAAGUGUACUGUGUGUGCUUCUUCAGGCAUUUCCUAUUUAUCUGAGACACUUUUGAGACAGAGAGGUGACUGGAGAAAAUGAAGGGUUCUCCUUUAUUUUUAUGAACAAUUCUCUACGCCUCAUUACUCUCACAAUUUUUGAAUAUCUACAAUCUUUUCUCUCAGUUUUCUUAACCUCCACGCUGAUGGUCCUGAUUCAGAGCUACUUCGUUUAUUACCCAAACACAGCUUGGGGAAGGGAAGGGGGAUGUAAGGCAGUAGAGGCUUAAUUCCCCUUGUUAUUAUACAUGGCUAUUGCUAUUUGUCCUAGGGAAGAGGGUUAGCUUGGCCCUACUAGAUAAAGAGCGUGUUAAAAAGGCCUCCCAAAUUUACAAGUGAAAAACAAACAUUUUGCGAGUAAAAAACAAACACACAUAUCCUUUGCCCAUUAAACAUUUUGUUUUGUUUUUUAAAAUGAGCAAGGGAUAUGAACAGACACUUUUCUUUUUAAAUUCUUAUUUAUUUAUUUAUCAACUUUUAUUUUAAGUUCUGGGGUACAUGUGCAGGAUGUGCAGAUACAUUAUUUAAUAUAUAUUGUUGAUUCAUUAACACUGAACUCACAGUUUGUAAGUCAUACCUGAAUGUUGUUUAUCUUACACAUAUUUUCUCCGUAAGGCACAUCACAGCCUUCCUGUGCUUAGGAAUGCUAGAUCACCCUUCAGUCUGGUUCAGUGUUAGCUGGGAACAUAUGUGAGAGGAGAGGUUCAAAUUUUUGGCUGGUCUGCACAUGUCUGCAAAUGACCUCAAAAGUGCUGUAUUAACUUAGAGGUUACAAAUCAAUUUUGAGUAGAUAAAUUCUCAAAUAUGAAAUCCACAAAUAAUGAGGAUCAGCAAUACAUAGACAGCAUGUAUGCAUGUAUAUAAAUGGAAAGUUUCUGGAAGGAUUAAACUACUAGAUGAAAGUUAUCUUUAGCGAAUAGGGCUGUGGGGAAGGAAUGAGACAAGGUGCACCUUUUAUCAUAACCCUCUUUGCCCUACAUGACUUUUUUACUGUGUGCAUCCCGUAGUCCUUCUUAUUCUCUGUCUCCUCCUUUUCUCCCACCAUCACUAUCAUCGUCAUUCUCUCAGCAAGCCAGUGCAUUUUCUGAAGAACUCUAGGGACAAGGUUUUAUUUGAGCCAAAUUGCUCAUAGUGAAUAUUCUCUGAAUCAGGCUCCUGGAAAAGUUGGUCUACAUAAUUUUGCAAAUUAGGAGUAUUUUACAAAUGCUAAGUAUGACACUUAGAACAUGAGUUCUCAGGGUAAUUUGUGUCACAUAAUAUUACCCCAUAUCCCAGCAUGCUGGGAUGGCCUGGACUUUGGGUACCUUUUGUCUGUCAAAUACUCUUACUUAGGGGUCAUGCACAGUGGCUCAUGCCUGUAAUCUUAGCACUGUGAGAGGCUGAGGUGAGUGGAUUGUGUUGGAGCCUGGAUUUUAAGAUCAAUCUGGGCUAUAUAGUGAGACCUUGUCACCAAAAAAAAACAAAAAAAAACAAAAAAAACAUAGUAGCUGCGUAUGGUGGGUGCAUGCCCUAGUCCUAGCUACUUGGGAGGCUGUGGAGGGAGGAUCACCUGAGCUCAGGAGUU